GGUGGCUUCACCCAGUGGAUCGCGCACCAGGGCUGCAGAUAGAGCUGCCUGCCAGUCCGGCGCCCUGCGCCCGCACUCCUCAGCCCUUGGGUGGUCGACGGGACUGGGCGCCGUGGAGCAGAGGGCGGCGCUCAUCGGGGAGGCUCGGAGGGCACGGGAGCCCGUGGAGGGCGUGGGAGGCUCAGGCAUGGCGGGCUGCAGGUCCCAAGCCCUGCCCUGCGGGAAGGCAGCCAAGGCCCGGUGAGAAAUCGAGCGCAGCGCUGGUGGGCUGGCACUGCUGGGGGAUCCAGUACACCCUCCGCAGCCGCUGGCCUGGGUGCUAAGCCCCUCAUUGCCCGGGGCCGGCAGGGCCGGCCGGCUGCUCCAAGUGCCGGGCCCGCCAAGCCCACGCCCACCCGGAACUCCAGCUGGCCCGCAAGCGCCGCGCGCAGGCCGGGUUCCCGCUCGCGCCUCUCCCUCCACACCUCCCUAGAAGCUGAGGGAGCUGGCUCCGGCCUUGGCCAGCCCAGAAAGGGGCUCUCGCAGUGCAGCGGUGCGCUGAAGGCCUCCUCAAGUGCCACCAAAGUGGGAGCCCAGGCAGAGGAGGCGCGGAGAGCGAGCGAGGGCUGUGAGGACUGCCAGCACGCUGUCACCUCUCACCAACAGCAAAGACUGAACAAUGAGGGCGAGGAAUGGAAGUGCUCCUGACUAUGAAGCCAGAUAUGCUACAAGUAAUGGCUGACAAUAUUUCAAGAGCUGAGCAAAUAACACAGAGAAGAGACUGAUGGAUUCAAAACCUGUAACAGACAGAUCCUUUAGACAGUUUAUCUAUUGAACAUUCCAUGGCAUUUUUAUACUGUGGAUCACUAAAAUCAUCAUAUUAGUCUGCUGCUAUUGUAGAUGUUUUUCAUGAUGACUGAUCAGAAACCAUUGUAAUAGAUGUAAGAAUGGAGAAGGAUAUGCUCUUCAAGGUUUUGGAAGACAUUAUAGCUCAGUAAGUACUGGGAUGGCAACAGACCUGAAAACAACCUUGUGUCAUCACUAUAAUUUGUUCUGGAUGUUCCAUCAUAAGCAUUGUCCUUUAUAAAGAAUGCCCUUUGUGAUGGUUAUGCUUUGCACAAUAUCAUUUUAGUAACAAAAUUAAUACUUGUUGCAGUAUAUUAAAUCUCAGUGCAAUGGGGGCCCAAGAGUGUGCAAGACAAUUGUGAGACUGCAGUAAAUCUUUUGGAAUUGAUCCAUUUGAUUAACCAAAGUAGACUAGGUUAUAUUGCAAAAAGAUAUAUCAGUGUCUCAAUUCAGCAAAGGGGUAUUUCUGAGUUUGGCAACAUUCUAGGCAGGCACCUUCCAUGUAUGCAUCCAUGGUUCAGCUGCUUCUACCUUGUUCUUCCUCCAUUUCAAAUAUGCAUUCUUGGACACCACUAAUGAGGAAUAGACAGCAUAGAUAAUUCACACUUUUCUGUUAAAUACCUUGCGCUGCAAAUGGCACAGAUCACUUCUGCUUACGAGCCAAUGGUGAAUACUGGACAUAUGUUCCACUAACUCCAAGAGUCCAAGAGGGCUGAGAAAUGUAGUCUAUCCAGGUGCACAGAAAAUUGAGUACUAGAAAUAUCUGCUACACUAAUAGAUGGGAAACUGAGAUAAUUUCCUAAAUGAAGUCUUAUUGGCAUUAAGAAAUUGAUUCUGUUUUAACUAUUGGGGUUUUUUUGGCUCUCAUGAUUUUGCAUUUUAUUUCAUAUAAUCAUAAAAUGUUGAGUCAAUCCUGCCAGGGACUAUACUACACUCUGAUGGGAAUUUAGGUAAUUUUACAUAUGCAUUGAAUUCUUAGUCACUAAGUUUAAAGAUUAUCUUAUUUCUAUUAAAAAAUCGUACAAUCACAUGUGAUUGCAUUAUAUACUAUCUAGAUGUCAAAGUAUCUUACGUUUAUUUUCUUCAGAACCCAUAUUUCUAUACUGUAUUUCCCACCAUGUGUUCUAUAGGAAUGGAGCAGAAUUAGGCAUAUAAUGAGGCAGUGACAAACUAGAUUUAGAAUUUGUGUGAGGCAACUGUCUUUUCACUCUGCAGUACAGUAUUCUCACAACACUCCCAUCACAAAAGCGUUGUAAAAGCUGCUAACAAUCAGCAGCCUUGCAAAUUCUCAGUUUUAGGCAUUAACUAUGAAUGCCAUGACGAUAUCUAUGCAAAAUUGCUUGCCAUGUUUCACAUUUCCUGACCAGCAUCACUGGUCCCUCACUCUCUCUGAACAUAAAAUAGAAAGAUAAUUAAUAUGUUUUAUCCCAUUAAGGAACAUAUAAUAAGAAACUUCUAUUCUUAUGUCUAAUACCUUUAUAGUAUCUCAUAUCAAGAAUUUGAGGUGCUAUUUAGAUUCCAUGAGAUUUCUUAUGGGAAAAAAAUCUCGGUUCUAAAAUUAUUUUGUUUUUAUUUCUCUUUUUUUUUCCUGACUAUAAUAUAAAUGUUAAAUUUAUUUAAGUAAUCCAAAGCACAUAUUUGUCCUUUGUAAAACUUUAAUUGAAACAAUUGUAUAAAGGUAUAAAGUGCAUUUCCAUAUGUGUAUUCAUUGUGUAAUGAUCAAAUAAGCGUAAUGAUUUGGGGGUAACAUAUCUGGCUAGUGAGCAUGCACCCAUUCUGGACACAACUUCUCUGGGCAGGACUGCUUAUUCUUGGGGGCAGGGUCAACACAGGCUCCAGCGUCAGGUUGCUGGACCGAUGAUCCCAGAGGCUAGGGUCUGCAGUUUCUAGGAUAUGGAAGGCAUAGCGCCUCCAAGACAGCUUGUUCUCUAGGUAUAGGAAGCUGUGGCAGCUCAGUGAGUGCACUAUGAUGCGUGAAUGUGGUGUCAAUGUAGCAUGGACUCAGGAAUGGAAAGAUGUAGUGGCUACUGGCUCCUGAAACAGGAUGCACUUUAGCCGUGACUCCAGUGUCAAGAUGACACCAUACAGGUGCAGCUUGGGUCAUGGAGUAAGGAGCGGGGCACAGUGUGGGCUUCUUCUCUGGCACAGUGCAGAGGUGUGGGUGCAAGGCAGCUCCCAAAACUAAGCUCAGUGCCUGUGGGGACUACAGGGUUCUCCAUUAGCAAAGACUGCAGGUGUUUGCAAUGUUGGCGGGGCUGCUGGGAGCCUCCUGCCUGCCUACCUUUUCUCUCCUGGGGAAAGUGCCUUCUUUCUCUGAGUUGAACCUGGCUGGGAAUAAGAUGUGGCAGAGGCAGGCUGUUUCCUUUUCUUCUUCAGACCCUCCCUAAAGGUCUCCUUCCUCUAUGCAUUUUAUCGUUCCAACACUGUACUCCAUCACUCUCAAACACUCCAAUUCAAAUGUGUUGGUUUAAUUGUUGUUUUGAUCCUUUA
rnacentral:lncRNA from 10 species